rnacentral:misc_RNA from 1 species
AGGGAUCAUUACUGAGUGAGGGCUCCGGCCCGACCUCCAACCCCAUGUGAACCGAAACCUGUUGCUUCGGGGGCGACCCUGCCUUUACGCGAGGCGCCCCCGGAGGCUCAUCAAACCCUGCAUCUUUGCGUCGGAGUCUUAAUGAAUUUAAACAAAACUUUUAACAACGGAUCUCUUGGUUCUG